GGGGGAAUGGCGGAAUUGGCAGACGCAACGGACUCAAAAUCCGUCGAUAGCGAUAUCGUGAGGGUUCAAGUCCCUUUUCCCCCA
rnacentral:tRNA from 1 species